rnacentral:rRNA from 1 species
ACAAGCGGUGAGUGCUUUGGGGUGGGGUGACUGCGUACCUUUUGUAUAAUGGGUCAGCGACUUAUAUUCUGUAGCAAGGUUAACCGAAUAGGGGAGCCGGAGGGAAACCGAGUCUUAAUUGGGCGUUAAGUUGCAGGGUAUAGACCCGAAACCCGGUGAUCUAGCCAUGGGCAGGUUGAAGGUUGGGUAACACUAACUGGAGGACCGAACCGACUAAUGUUGAAAAAUUAGCGGAUGACCUGUGGCUGGGGGUGAAAGGCCAAUCAAACCGGGAGAUAGCUGGUUCUCCCCGAAAGCUAUUUAGGUAGCGCCUCGUGAAUUCAUCUCCGGGGGUAGAGCACUGUUUCGGCUAGGGGGCCAUCCCGGCUUACCAACCCGAUGCAAACUGCGAAUACCGGAGAAUGUUAUCACGGGAGACACACGGCGGGUGCUAACGUCCGUCGUGAAGAGGGAAACAACCCAGACCGCCAGCUAAGGUCCCAAAGUCAUGGUUAAGUGGGAAACGAUGUGGGAAGGCCCAGACAGCCAGGAUGUUGGCUUAGAAGCAGCCAUCAUUUAAAGAAAGCGUAAUAGCUCACUGGUCGAGUCGGCCUGCGCGGAAGAUGUAACGGGGCUAAACCAUGCACCGAAGCUGCGGCAGCGAACGUAUCACUUAAAGCGAUUCAGCGGGUUACGAUUAACGGAGCGAAGCGACGUCAAAGCGUAUACAAAGUCGAGUCGGUUUAAGGAUACGUUCGUUGGGUAGGGGAGCGUUCUGUAAGCCUGUGAAGGUGG